GGAAUAUUUCAGGACUGCCCCUCCGAGAUUUUGUUUUUAACAAAUUUCACGCAAGUCGGGAUUUUCCUUCGCCAGUUCAAUUCAAUUAUAAAGUCUUAUCCGUGUUCUUAUAAAAAUGAUAAAACGAGUUAAAAAAAAAAAAUAAAAAUAGUUACGCGCUGACGAUCCAAACGCACGCACGCGACGGACGACGCACGUUGAAAAACAAAAUGAUUUGAUUUUCGACCGACGGUCAAAGCUGUCGGAACGGGUCG